AUUUUAUCUAGUGAUAAAACACAUUAGUAGUAAACAAAGAUAAUAUUGUCCAUAGAUGUUUGUCCGAGCGGUGCAAUCCAUAUGGUCAUUGUUUGACUCAUAUGGUUAUUUGUUCUAUUUAUUUUAAGUUUCUGAAAUUCUAAGAUCUAGCAAGUAAAGAAUUGGAAGAAAAAUAAAAGCUUCAAUUAAGGUUUCAGAGCUACAAAACUCAUAAAAUUGAAUAAUGAGUGAAGUUUGGGCAGAACCCAUGAUCUUAAAUUACGUAAGUAAACACAUACAAAGCAAAAAAUCUAUGGUACAGAUCCUUAACCCAAGUCGUGAUUGUAGCGAAUCCAUUAUCUUCCGCUUGAUUUUGUAUUCGUCGACAAAGAGAGAGAAAGAGAGAGAGAAGAGAAAUGAGGAGAGAGUGAUUUUGUGUUUGUCGAAAAGGGAGAGAAAGAGAGAGAGAAGAGAAACUAGGAGAGAGACAAAGAUUAUAAGGAAAGAGAAAUAGUUAAAGGGUAAAUAGCUAAAUUUAUUUAUACAAAGUGCCUACUUUUUAGAAAGUUCCUAAACGUGUAAUAUGUUUUAUAAAAGUUCCCUAUAAUGUAAUAUUCUCAAAGAUUUUUACUAUAAACGAUUGAUUGUAGAGAAUUUUGAUGUUACUAUGGCUAUAGUGU
rnacentral:sRNA from 1 species